rnacentral:pre_miRNA from 1 species
GGGGGGAGCGCCAGAUCUGGGGCUGUGUCCCCAGCACCCUGUGCUCUCUGCGCUGUUGGAAUCACUCUCCUGGCUGCGCAACCCCCU